UACGUAGGGUGCGAGCGUUGUCCGGAAUUAUUGGGCGUAAAGAGCUCGUAGGCGGUUCGUCGCGUCGGCUGUGAAAACCCGGAGCUCAACUCCGGGCCUGCAGUCGAUACGGGCGGACUUGAGUGUUGCAGGGGAGACUGGAAUUCCUGGUGUAGCGGUGAAAUGCGCAGAUAUCAGGAGGAACACCGGUGGCGAAGGCGGGUCUCUGGGCAACUACUGACGCUGAGGAGCGAAAGCGUGGGGAGCGAACAGG
rnacentral:rRNA from 1 species